CAGUCGCCGCGGGAAUACGGAGGAUCCAAGCGUUAUCCGGAUUUAUUGGGUUUAAAGGGUGCGUAGGUGGCCUGUUAAGUCAGGGGUGAAAGACGGUAGCUUAACUAUCGCAGUGCCCUUGAUACUGAUGGGCUUGAAUGAACUAGAGGUAGGCGGAAUGUGGCAAGUAGCGGUGAAAUGCAUAGAUAUGUCACAGAACACCAAUUGCGAAGGCAGCUUACUAUGGUUUUAUUGACACUGAGGCACGAAAGCGUGGGGAUCAAACAGGAUUAGAUACCCGUGUAGUCCCUGUCUCUUAUAC
rnacentral:rRNA from 1 species